rnacentral:sRNA from 1 species
GGCUGUGACUCGCGCACCUGCAAGGCUGCCCCCGGGCUGUGGCAAGGGAGAUGAUAGCCAGAAACCAGGCUGAGACGCAGACUAGCAUUCCACUUACCCCAGAGACCAGUGUGGAAGCUGGGCAUCCUAGCGCGUAGCCGCUAAAGGAAUGGGCAGAAUUUGCCGUUUUCAGUGGAAAACAAGUGGUCCUUACUAGCUAAGAUGUGUUUGUACUUUGGAUCUGCAUUUGCUACACCCUUUCUUAUAGUAAGACACCAACUGCUUAAAACAUAAGGAUGUUUCAGUUCCUCCAUUUAACAGAUAUGAAGAGCAUUUUAAGAGGUGCAGCCUGAAGUGGAUCAAACUAGAACUCAUAUGCCAUACUAGAUAUGUUUGUCAAUAAACUUAUGACGUGAAUGCUUAAUGCCUCUUUUUUGAAAUAGGGAAUGUAAUAGUUGGCCAUUUGCCGACUUUAUUAUUUGGGUAACAUUCCAGUAUUACUCUCUGUGAUUUAGCUUAUUUAAUGGUGUUAAACUGAGGUUAUAUUAAAUUUUUGAUUCGCGGGUCAGGGUUUUGUUGGUAAUUUAUAUAAUAAAAGG